rnacentral:lncRNA from 1 species
GGCCGCCGGCGGUGAGGUGGUCGCGAGGCGACGUCCGGCACGGCGGGACGAGCAUUACGUUGCCGAAGCCUCGGAGCGUUCCUGUGGAGGCGCAGUGCGAGAUGGGAGGUUUUCCGAGCUGCUGGUUCAUCUGAGGACGUACAACCUGAUACCGGUAAGUCUUGUCAGGGACAAGCAUGCACUGAGCUGCGGCUGUCCAGUCAGACAAACUCAGAGGUGCUUGAAGACUUCUCUGAAGGCUGUGAUGACCCUAAGAAGAGAGCACGCGGACUCCCUGAGUGGGAAACAUCUCAUGUUUGAUAUAUUUUUCUGUGUCGCUUGAGGUGCGUUUCCAGAACACACAGCUUAACAAAAGCUCUAAGACAGAGAAGUUCUGUGUGGACAGAAUAUUCACUCUGGAGCUCUUCUGGCACUGGUCUCAUGAUAUUAGGUAAUGUGCAUACCUGAAAUUGCUGGAACGCUUGAUGC